UCCCCUCUCUCCACCCCGCCGCUCAUGCAGGCCCUGUACGAGUUUCAGGGCAGGAACACGCAGGAGCUGACCGUCCAGAGAGGGGAAAUGCUGCAGGUAAAACGGGGUCCCCAAGCGGGGGACAAGGCACRGGGGCCACACCACCCUUGUUGUCACCGUGUCUCCUAGGUCCUGGACCAGCGGAAGAAGUGGUGGCUGGUGCAGAACAGCCUGGGGGAGAAGGGCUACGUCCCCAGCAACAUCCUGGAGCCCCUGGGGCAGGAUGCCACCGCGAGCCAGGUGGGUCACCCUUGUCAUCGUCCCCCGUGCCCGCACGGACCCCAGCACGCUGCCCUUGGACCUACCUGGGCCUUCCUCUCUUCCAGAGCAGCCCUCCCACCCUCCACCUCAGGUCCCCGCCGGCAGAGGUGACCGCUUGGCUGCAGGACAAGGGUUUCUCACGGAUAACGGUGAAGUGCCUCGGCGUCCUCUCCGGGCAGCAGCUGCUGCACAUGAGCCCGGAGGAGCUGCGAGCCGUCUGCCCGGAGGAGUGGCGACGCGUCGUCUUCAAGCUCUCGGCCGUGAAGACGUCCCUGGGGAUCGGUCCGAGGGACUGAGCCGCCAGGGGCUGGGACCACGCUGACGCCUUCCCCCGCCGCCCCCCCCCACCGCAGCCCCCCAUGACGAGCAGCCCAGCCGAGGGGGCGACGCUGGGACCAGCGCUGCAGGACUUGGGGGGCUCGAAGGAGGGGGGACGGGGCUCCCCUUUUCCUGCCUCCCCCCCCCCAGGAUGGAGAGCUGCAUCCUCCAGCUCCAAACGACGGCAGCCCGAAGGGCAGCAGCCCGCUCCGCUGGCGUUUCCGCCUCCCCCGGCCGUUCCCUAGCAGCCAGCCACGCUGGAGAGCUCCUGGGGGAGAUCUGGGAUCUCCUGGGGGGAGAUUCGGGAUCUCCCGGGGGGGAUCUGUUGCUUGAUCCUAUCUCCAGCCACCCAGAGAGGCAGUGGGGCCGCCGGGGAGGGCUGGGCGCCGUGAAACACUUGUGCCGAUCCCGACGUGCAAAGCAACUGUGACGCAGAAGAAAUAAAACGCAAAGCGGAGCAGCA
ensembl:lncRNA